UCGCCUGUUUAUCAAAAACAUCGCCUCUUGAACUUAUAAGAGGUCCAGCCUGCCCAGUGACACUGUUCAACGGCCGCGGUAUCCUAACCGUGCGAAGGUAGCGUAAUCACUUGUUCUUUAAAUAAGGACUAGUAUGAAAGGCAUCACGAGGGUUAUACUGUCUCCUCUCUCUAAUCAGUGAAACUAAUCUCCCCGUGAAGAAGCGGGGAUCUACAUAUAAGACGAGAAGACCCUAUGGAGCUUUAAAUGAUAAUAACAAUUGCUAUAACAUUUUUUUAUUCCAGAAAAUUUACUUUUAUCCUAGCAUCAUGAUUAUUAAUUUUAGGUUGGGGUGACCGCGGAGUAUAAAACAACCUCCAUAUUGAAAUAGAAUCCAAAUUCUUAGCAAAAAGUUACAACUUUACGCAUCAACAAAUUGACAUCAAUUGACCCAAUAUUUUGACCAACGAACCAAGUUACCCUAGGGAUAACAGCGCAAUCCACUUCAAGAGCUCAUAUCGACAAGUGGGUUUACGACCUCGAUGUUGGAUCAGGGUACCCCAGUGGUGCAGCCGCUACUAAAGGUUCGUUUGUUCAACGAUU
rnacentral:rRNA from 1 species